GAUGAAGAACGCAGCAAAAUGUGAUAAGUAAUGUGAAUUGCAGAAUUCAGUGAAUCAUCGAAUCUUUGAACGCACAUUGCGCCCGCCAGUAUUCUGGCGGGCAUGCCUGUUCGAGCGUCAUUUCAACCCUCAAGCACAGCUUGGUGUUGGGACUCGCGUUAAUUCGCGUUCCCCAAAUUGAUUGGCGGUCACGUCGAGCUUCCAUAGCGUAGUAGUAAAACCCUCGUUACUGGUAAUCGUCGCGGCCACGCCGUUAAACCCCAACUUCUGAAUGUUGACCUCGGAUCAGGUAGGAAUACCCGCUGAACUUAAGCAUAUCAAUAAGCGGAGGA
rnacentral:misc_RNA from 1 species